GUUUAAUACCAUGUCUUUGAAGGAACCAAGGAUGGCUGCGGUGAUGAUUCCAAGGAACAACCCCACGAUAUUGAGGAUUGUCGAUGACCAUAGCAGGUGAUACAGAGAUUUAUAAAUCACAGAAUCAUUAUCCCUCAAACCCCAACUGAACCAGGCGCAGGAACAGUCAUUACCUUCAACCAUCAAGCUGCUGAACCAGCAAGGAUAACUUCACUCACCUCAACGCUGAGCUGAUUCAACAACCCACAGGCUCACUUUCAAAGACUCUACAAUUCAUGAUCUCAAUAUUAUUUAUUUAUUAAUUAUUAUCGUCACUAUUUGUUUUGUAUUAUGCACCAUUUGUCUUUCCUGAGCACAUCUAGCAAGAGCACUGCCACAACAAAGCAGUAUCCAUCAUCCAGGGACCCCCCACCAUCCAGGCCAUGUUCCCUUCUUGCUGCCCUCAUUCGGGAAGGAGGUACAGGAGCCUGAGGUCCCACAUCACCAGGUUCAGGAAUAUUUAUUAUCAUACAACCAUCAUGCCCCUGAACCAGUGUGGAUAACUUCACUCACCACAGUACUGAACUAAUUCCACAAUCUACAGGCUAACUUUCAAGAACUCCAAAAAUCAUGUUCUCAGUGUUAUUAUUAUUAAAAUUAUUAUCUUUCCAUCCAUCCUUUAUUUUUUAUUUGCAGUUUGUCUUCUUUGCACGUUGGUUGUUUGUCAGCCAGUAUUUUAUUGACUCUAUUGUAUUUCUUUGUUCUACUGUGAAUGCCCACAAGAAAAUGAAUCUCAGGGUAGUAGAUGGUGACACAUACGUACUUUGAUAAUAAAUUUACUUUGAACUUUGAA